UACGAAGGGGGCUAGCGUUGUUCGGAAUCACUGGGCGUAAAGCGCACGUAGGCGGAUUUUUAAGUCAGGGGUGAAAUCCCGGGGCUCAACCUCGGAACUGCCUUUGAUACUGAGGAUCUGGAGUCCGGGAGAGGUGAGCGGAACUGCGAGUGUAGAGGUGAAAUUCGUAGAUAUUCGCAAGAACACCAGUGGCGAAGGCGGCUCACUGGCCCGGAACUGACGCUGAGGUGCGAAAGCGUGGGGAGCAAACAGG
rnacentral:rRNA from 1 species